UCUGAGUGAAAAACUUCCUUGUAAGACAUUGUUACAUCAUCUUCUUUAUAAACUGUUCAAAAAAGCUGUGCUAAGUUUUUUCCCUUAAAAAUUGUUCAAUAGUAUUUGAAUACAAAUUAUUACAACCGAAGUGGUAAAGUUUUUUUUUGAUUGUUUGUUUUGUAAUAGAUGAAACAGAGAUAACAUUCCCUACCUUCUCCUUUAUGAAGUAGAACUGUAAGAUGUUAUCAGUGACACCUGUGUAUCAUACCUCAAAUUCUGAGCGCUCCCAAAUCGAGAGGCUUUUCUUCAUGAAAAGAAAUCAUGUUCUUAAUAGUCAAAGUAGAUAUUUGCUUUAUUGUGUUAUUUUUUUGUUCAGUGGGGGAAAAAAAAUAGUACUCUGCAGAAAUGUAAUGAAAAGUUCUCACGAAGGAAAAAAUGAAUCCAGUUCCUUCCCCCUUGAAGUAAUAAGUAGUGAGCAUACAGGGAUUUGGUAGUGGUGUAUUUUGUUGGUGGUGGGAUUUUUCUUUGGUAAAGUGCUAAGGAAUUUUUUUUCUCUCCUAAACAAUAGGAAUGUUAUGCAAGCAUUUUCCUAGUUGAUAAAUAUGUAGAACUAUGUGUUGUAUCUAAAUUGUUGUAUUUAAUCUUGCCCUAGGAAAUGAUUGUUGAAUUUGUGGAAUCAGAAUUUCCACAGUAAUGGGCUCUGACGUCAUAAAAGUUGUUUCAUAACCGUCUUGUUAGAAGUUGGCCAUGUGUGUUGCUUAGGUUUGCUUUUAAUCAGGCAGCUGGCAGACAAUGUGGACAUUAUUGUUAAAAGAAUACAUAUACAUAUAUUUUUUCCAUCUCAAACUGUAGUUUCUUUUCCUGAAACCAUUCCUGAAUUUGUUUCCUGCUUCUGCUCAGGCAGCCGUACUGCAAAGCAGCUGCAGGCUGUUCGCUGCUAUGAAUCGCUAAUUUUGAAAGCUGAAGGAAAGGUCGAGUCUGAUUUCUUUUGUCAGUUAGGUCACUUCAACCUCUUAUUGGAAGAUUAUCCAAAAGCAUUAUCUGCAUACCAGAGGUACUACAGUUUACAAUCUGACUACUGGAAGGUGCAGAAGUGAAAGGUGAAAGAAUGGAAGGAGGCUGUAUUUUGCUGUUUACCAAAAGAAAAGUUCAUUCUUGCUGGUGAAAUACUACCUGCUUCCUAAGAAAUAUUAUUUGUGUGGGUAGUUUUGACAGAGCUGCAUUGCAUUAUGUCAUAUACUCCUGGGCUACUUUUAUCAGUAAUCUCUUUGGGCACCCACAUGUCAGUGCAAAUGUCCUGCAGAAUUUCUGAGUUACUGCAGUCUUUGUCACGGGCACCGUGGUGUCUUAACUCCAUUAAAAAAUACUUGACUUGAAACCUGGUAAAGUAAAUAUCUCAACUCGGAUAAAAGCUGAGAAAACUUAAUAGAGCUCUUCAGUUCAAGUACUUUUUUCCAGUGUUUCUUCUUAUGUCUGUGCUAAAAUAAAUCUGCCUUCUGUGCAAUGUACUUCAUUCGUAUUUCUUUUUAAAACUCCUGUGUCAGAAAUUUUGGGGGAGGUGAGGAGGACUGCGGAGGAUGAACAGAUAGGAAGGGCAGCUCAGGAGAGGGAGACAACAAUUAGAAAUCCAAUUUGUAGAUUCUGAUGCUGCUGAGAAAAUAGAUGUCAAGUGUUAAGUGUCUGCCAUAGUUAUCAGUUUUGACAUAUUCUAAGGAGGGAAGGACUAGAACAGCAAGAAUUAAGAUGCUUUUUAUUUUAUCUGAACAUGGUGGGAGAUAUCUGGCACCUGGAAAAAGCUAUUUUAAUCGUCUUGUGUGGCUGUAUUAUAAUACAGUUGGUCGCAAUGAUCUCGUUCAUGUAGCAUCUGGGUUCUAUUAGGGCUGUCUUAACCAAUUUCAGUACAAGAGUAAAUGUGUAAGUGUAAAAUACGUGCAUCUCUUGAAUUGACAUGGUUCCUUGAGGCAGAGGAAAGCUUCCCCUUCCUCUUUCUCUUCUCCCACAUGUGGGGCUGGGAAAGGUUUCACUGCUUGCUGAAGUGAUUCUGGUGAGGUGUUUGCUGAAGAGUCUGGUUGUUCACUACUUUCAUGAGAUCGUCUCUGCUUUGAUGUAGCACUGUUACUGUAGCCCCCAUUUUGGUUUGAUAAUCCUGUUUGAAGUACAUAUUUGUGAUUUUUUGCAGGUAGGUGUUUGUUCACAUUCUGUUAGUUACAGUUGUGUACCUGUCGAUGUUACAACACAGAUUUUGAAUGAAUAAAACUUUUUGGUGCAGGUACAUAUUAGGUUGAGCUGCAUAGGUAGCUGCAGGCAGACAUAGAUAGUGGGCAGGUAACCUUCCUGGCAAUAGGUCUUACCUGCAGGAAGCUCCUAUGUGCUAGUUCUCUGCAGUGCUCCCAUCAGCCAUCUGUUAUAUACAUCUCCAUAGUUGGGGAAUUGGUAUGUAACUUUCUAGACAGUAUUUUAGUCAAAUCCAAAGUACUGAGGAUGAAUUGUGAGAAUAUGAGGACAGCACUGAUGUUGUGCACGCAGUGCAUGUGAUUAGGAGUGUGUGAAUGGAAAGUGGCCAUCUCUCUGCCUGUGUUUUACUGGACAUUAGAACUCCUGUCUAAAUUCAUGAUUUUACCUCAGGCCUUUUCCAUAUCUAUUGGUUUUUGGCAUCAUGUUUGCAAAUAACAGAAUUUCCUUGCAAGUUUCUCAGCUUGAAGAGAGUCUAAAACUAUGCAGAUGUUGAAAAACAAAAAUAACAAAACAAAAAACGAUAACAAAGCCAACUUAAAUUCUGUUGAGAAGGCCCAGGAAAGUGAGACUGAGUAACUGUGUGUGUGUGCUUGUCAUGGACGAAGAAUCAUAGAAUCACAGAAUUAUUCAUGUUGGAAAAGACCUUAAAGAUCAUCAUGUCCAACCACAAUGUAAUCAUAAUACCCUAACUCUGACAUCAGUCUUUGCUGAGUUGUUGACUUAUAAAGAAAGCAAUUUUACGAUGUUCUUUGAUAUGUAGCCCUGCAGUGUAAUGUAGUACCAGUUAAUUUUUUACAGUACUGUUUUAUAAUUAAACCUUUGUAAAAUUGUUACAAACGUUAUUUUGUAACUUCAUGGCUAAAACAGUAGUAAGACUUUUUUUCCAUAAAGAGCUAAAAGUAAGACUAAAUGUGUUUAUUUUUGAAUUUGACCUGGUGCUCAUCUUAAAUAUACUUGUACAACUUCUUUUCUUCUCUAUUAAUUUUCUCUUCUGAUUGGCAAAAUGUGAUGGCUUUUUUCUUUUUUUUUCUCAAUGCUAUAAAGUAGGAAAACAAUGGAAAAUGAUGCUUUAAUUUUGGAUGCUUUGUUGUCCCUUUUUUUUUUGCAGACUGUAAGUCCAUUUUUCCCUUUUUUAAGAAGUUGGACAAAAAGCAAUUACUAGACACACUGAUAACAACAAAUAAGAGAACAUUUUGCACCUCAGAGGGUCUGUUAUAAAACAGAGCAAUUUUCCAUUUCAUUGACUCACAACUGUUUUAUUUUCUGCUGUAACCUCAAAAUAUCUAGUAGAGGUUUUACACAUAAUUCAUCAAAACUUCAAUUAUUUUUUAAUAGGCUAUAAAUGCUUAGUUUAAUUGAAACAGUACCAUGGUACAGGACCAGUAAGAAUUACUGAAGCAGACGUUCCUGAAACAAAAGUUGGAAAGGGUAGUAGGAUUAUGAUAUCUGGACACUGGAUUUUCAUUCAAGCCAUUAGUUUUUUUUAAGUGAGUUUUAAUACAUACAUAUAUAUUUUUUUAAUGGAAUGAGUAUUCUAUGUGAGGAGAUGCACUUGAAAAGUUUCCCCACAGGAGUCUUCCGAGGUCAAAACUUCAAAAUGAUGUGCAAGGCUUUUAAUUUAAAUGAUCACUAGCUUAGAAAAGAUACCUUUAUCUGAAUAAUUCUUAAAGAAUGAUACAUCUUAAGAGUUGCAGCUUUGGUUUUGUUGUUGCUUUUGUUUGCUUGUUUGAUUUUAAUUUUUCUUGUAGGAUGUGUCUGUCUGAAAUUCUGCUCCUCUGCCAGCAAGAAUGCUGAAUUCUUAGAUAGGCCCAUGCCACUGUUGUUAAUGCAGACAAAUAAUGCAGCAUGUCCAAUUUUGUGUAAAGUAAAAUUGUACAUGAUUCUAAUAAUUAACUCUCGUGUUAAAAGAUUUAUCUAACAAAAAUGACAGGCACUCGUGUUCCCUCUGCUUGAAAGGAAUGGAGUAGGUGUAAAGUCUGAAAAAGAAUGAGACAGCCAAUUUAACUAAUAAAUUUUGACAUGUUGCUUUUGGCCUCUAGGUAAGUCUGAUAAAUUGCCCCUAUAACUGUAUUGAGGAAUCCAUUCGUGAGCAUAUUUUAACCACCUGUUUGGAUCACAAGAAGAAUUAUACUUUGCAUGGAGUGUACUUUUGUAUAGCAUGUUGCUAUACUUUUGAAAUAUUUUGUAUUUGCACUAAAUAAGAAUUUUUGCAGUACCAUUCAUCAGUUUUAAUUGAUGUAUUGAUGAGAAAAUUAAAAAAAACUCCAGGAAAUCUGUAAUUUACCAUUAACAUUCUGAGUAUAAGGGGAAUGGAUGUCCUCUGUUGAGCAACUUUGCUUGAGUUGGGAGGGGGAGAAGACAAGACAGUAUCUCAGAGUAACCCCUCCUCCAUCUGGGCAUUAUUUUGGUUUCCAAAUAAUACAGCAUUUUUUAAUGGUGAUGCUUCACCCUGGAAUUUCGCAGGAAUGCUGUUUUCCCCCUGUGUGUAUGAUGUCUAUAGAUGUCCAAAUAUUCUGGGUGGAAAUGACAUAAGUAUCAUCAGGGUUGAUGGAAAAGUGCCUUCAGUAAAGCUUUUAAUGCAUGUUGAAUUCUCCUACUGCAGAACUUUCCUUUGUGCAUUAAAAACCUGUCAUCCUUCAUCUACUGAUAGAAUAAUAGCAUGCUUCCUUUCUCCAGUCUAUGAUGAGAAAGUAGAAUGCUAAAAUAUGAGACAUACUGAAGUGUGUCAGUGAAGAAAUUCAUCAGUUUAGAUUGCUGGGAGAGAGGCACGUUUAGUUGAGUAGAACAGCUCUGAUUUGAAUGGAGGACAAAUCUUCAGUAGGCGAGAAAAUUAUUUGACUGCUAACUUUAUUGACAAUGACUGUGAUGCUUGCCAUUUCAGAAGUAUUGCAUUCUUUGGAGAACCAUAAAAAUAGAACAGUUCCUUCAUAUAUCCGUAUGAUUGCUCUUAAGUUGCAUAAAAAAGGUAAAAACAACUACACUUUUCCUAGUUUGUAGAUUUCUGCUGAAACAUAAGUAGAUGUUGUAUUUCAGUAAUGAAUGGCAUUUCUUUUCUUUGGAAAUAAAUAUUUUUAAAUUAUAACAUUCUUUCU